rnacentral:rRNA from 1 species
AUUGAACGCUGGCGGCAGGCCUAACACAUGCAAGUCGAACGAGCGGCGGACGGGUGAGUAAUGUAUGGGGACUGCCCGAUAGAGGGGGAUAACUACUGGAGACGGUAGCUCUUACCGCAUACUAUCGGAUAACCCAUAUGGGAUUAGCUGUUAGGUGAGGUAAUGGCGCACCAAGGCGACGCUCCCUAGCUGGUCUGAGAGGAUGAUCAGCCACACUGGAACUGAGACACGGCCCAGACUCCGACGGAGGCAGCAGUGGGGAAUAUUGCACAAUGGGCGCAAGCCUGAUGCAGCCAUGCCGCGUGUAUGAAGAAGGCCCGCGGGUUGUAAAGUACUUUCAGUCGGGAGGCGUUACCGGCAGAAGAAGCACCGGCUAACUCCGUGCCAGCAGCCGCGGUAAUUC